UACGUAGGGUGCAAGCGUUGUCCGGAAUUAUUGGGCGUAAAGAGCUCGUAGGCGGUUUUGUCGCGUCUGCUGUGAAAACUCGGGGCUUAACUCCGGGCCUGCAGUGGGUACGGGCAGACUAGAGUGCGGUAGGGGAGACUGGAAUUCCUGGUGUAGCGGUGAAAAUGCGCAGAUAUCAGGAGGAACACCGGUGGCGAAGGCGGGUCUCUGGGCCGUAACUGACGCUGAGGAGCGAAAGCGUGGGGAGCGAACAGG
rnacentral:rRNA from 1 species